ACGGAGGAGGCAAGCGUUAUCCGGAAUUAUUGGGCGUAAAGCGUCCGUAGGUGGUUUGUCAAGUCAGUUGUUAAAGCGUGGAGCUUAACUCCAUAAGGGCAAUUGAAACUGACAGGCUAGAGUGCGAUAGGGGCAAGGGGAAUUCCCAGUGUAGCGGUGAGAUGCGUAGAUAUUGGGAAGAACACCGGAGGCGAAGGCGGGUUGCUGGGCCGACACUGACGCUGAGGCGCGAAAGCCAGGGGAGCAAACGGGA
rnacentral:rRNA from 1 species